AGAGUUUGAUCAUGGCUCAGAUUGAACGCUGGCGGCAUGCCUUACACAUGCAAGUCGAACGGUAACAGGUCUUCGGAUGCUGACGAGUGGCGAACGGGUGAGUAAUACAUCGGAACGUGCCCGAUCGUGGGGGAUAACGGAGCGAAAGCUUUGCUAAUACCGCAUACGAUCUACGGAUGAAAGCAGGGGACCGCAAGGCCUUGCGCGGACGGAGCGGCCGAUGGCAGAUUAGGUAGUUGGUGGGAUAAAAGCUUACCAAGCCGACGAUCUGUAGCUGGUCUGAGAGGACGACCAGCCACACUGGGACUGAGACACGGCCCAGACUCCUACGGGAGGCAGCAGUGGGGAAUUUUGGACAAUGGGCGAAAGCCUGAUCCAGCCAUGCCGCGUGCAGGAUGAAGGCCUUCGGGUUGUAAACUGCUUUUGUACGGAACGAAAAGACUCCUUCUAAUAAAGGGGGUCCAUGACGGUACCGUAAGAAUAAGCACCGGCUAACUACGUGCCAGCAGCCGCGGUAAUACGUAGGGUGCAAGCGUUAAUCGGAAUUACUGGGCGUAAAGCGUGCGCAGGCGGUUAUAUAAGACAGAUGUGAAAUCCCCGGGCUCAACCUGGGAACUGCAUUUGUGACUGUAUAGCUAGAGUACGGUAGAGGGGGAUGGAAUUCCGCGUGUAGCAGUGAAAUGCGUAGAUAUGCGGAGGAACACCGAUGGCGAAGGCAAUCCCCUGGACCUGUACUGACGCUCAUGCACGAAAGCGUGGGGAGCAAACAGGAUUAGAUACCCCGGUAGUCCAA
rnacentral:rRNA from 1 species